rnacentral:misc_RNA from 1 species
AACAAGUGUUUUAUGGCACUUUUUUAAAUCCAUAUCCACCUUGUGUGCAAUGUCAGGUUCGGAUCUCUCUCUUUCUCCUUUUUAUAGGGGGGAAAAGGGGGAGACAUCGGCCAAAACAUCAACCCUAUCUUAACUCUUUGUCUGAAAAAUAUUAUGAAUAAAACAAUUCAAAUACAACUUUCAACAACGGAUCUCUUGGCUCU